AAAAAAUGCAAACCCUAGAUUUUCGUGUCUAACUUUGACUGUUCGUCUUAUAUAAAAUUUUUUUAUAAUUCGUAUUUUUAUUGUUAUUAGAUGAUAAAACAUGAUUAAUAUUUUAUGCGUGGCUUGUCUUUUUAAUUUUUUUUAUAUUUUUUAAAAUAAGACGGACAGUCAAACGUUGGACACGGAAAUCAGGGUUUGUCUUUUU
rnacentral:pre_miRNA from 1 species